rnacentral:rRNA from 1 species
AGUGAACGCUGGCGGUAGGCCUAACACAUGCAAGUCGAACGGCAGCACAGGAGAGCUUGCUCUCUGGGUGGCGAGUGGCGGACGGGUGAGGAAUACAUCGGAAUCUACUCUGUCGGGGGGGAUAACGUAGGGAAACUUACGCUAAUACCGCAUACGACCUACGGGUGAAAGCAGGGGACCUUCGGGCCUUGCGCGAUUGAAUGAGCCGAGGUCGGAUUAGCUAGUUGGCGGGGUAAAGGCCCACCAAGGCGACGAUCCGUAGCUGGUCUGAGAGGAUGAUCAGCCACACUGGAACUGAGACACGGUCCAGACUCCUACGGGAGGCAGCAGUGGGGAAUAUUGGACAAUGGGCGCAAGCCUGAUCCAGCCAUACCGCGUGGGUGAAGAAGGCCUUCGGGUUGUAAAGCCCUUUUGUUGGGAAAGAAAUCCAGCUGGCUAAUACCCGGUUGGGAUGACGGUACCCAAAGAAUAAGCACCGGCUAACUUCGUGCCAGCAGCCGCAGUAA